rnacentral:rRNA from 1 species
CCCGCUGAACUUAAGCAUAUCAAUAAGCGGAGGAAAAGAAACUAACAAGGAUUCCCCUAGUAACGGCGAGUGAAGCGGGAUGAGCUCAAAUUUAAAAUCUGGCUGGUUUACUAGUCCGAAUUGUAGUUUAAAGAAGCGUUUUCGGUGGCAGUCUCGGUAUAAAUCCUUUGGAAUAGGGUAUCAUAGAGGGUGAGAAUCCCGUCUUUGACUGAGAAUUUGCUACUAUGUGAUACGUUUUCAAAGAGUCGAGUUGUUUGGGAAUGCAGCUCAAAAUGGGUGGUAAAUUUCAUCUAAAGCUAAAUAUUGGCGAGAGACCGAUAGCGAACAAGUACCGUGAGGGAAAGAUGAAAAGAACUUUGAAAAGAGAGUUAAACAGUGCGUGAAAUUGUUGAAAGGGAAACGCUUGAAACCAGUCAUGUGGUUGGAAAAUCAGUGUUCAACUGGGGGGAAUGGGGGAGGUGUGGACCGCAAGGCUGCUCUUUUCUAUAUCUCUUUUGUUGGGCAUGCACUUUUUCUUCUGCAGGUCAACAUCAGUUUCUUUUGCUGGACAAAACUCUUGAGAAGGUAGCAGCUUAGGCUGUGUUAUAGCUCUGGAGCGAUACAGUGGAGGAGACUGAGGUUUUCGCAGCAUGUGCUCUCGGGCAAGGCCAAUUGGGUGCUAUGGGAUCGUUCGGGGUACAAUACAUGUAUUUUGCCUCGUGUCUUUUCUAUACUCGUUCAGUUGAGCUCUUCCAUGCUUAGGAUGUUGACUUAAUGGUUUUAAUCGACCCGUCUUGAAACACGG